rnacentral:rRNA from 1 species
UACGUAGGUGGCAAGCGUUGUCCGGAUUUAUUGGGUUUAAAGGGUGCGUAGGCGGUCUUAUAAGUCAGUGGUGAAAUACGGCAGCUCAACUGUCGAGGUGCCAUUGAUACUGUAGGACUUGAGUACAGACGAGGUAGGCGGAAUUGACGGUGUAGCGGUGAAAUGCAUAGAUAACAUCAAGAACACCGAUUGCGAAGGCAGCUAACUAGGCUGUAACUGACGCUGAGGCACGAAAGCUAGGGGAGCAAACAGG